rnacentral:misc_RNA from 1 species
GAUGAAGAACGCAGCGAAAUGCGAUAAGUAAUGUGAAUUGCAGAAUUCAGUGAAUCAUCGAAUCUUUGAACGCACAUUGCGCCCGCCAGUAUUCUGGCGGGCAUGCCUGUUCGAGCGUCAUUUCAACCAUCAAGCCCCCGGCUUGUGUUGGGGACCUGCGGCUGCCGCAGGCCCUGAAAAGCAGUGGCGGGCUCGCUGUCACACUGAGCGUAGUAGCAUACAUCUCGCUCUGGGCGUGCUGCGGGUUCCGGCCGUUAAACCACCUUCAUAACCCAAGGUUGACCUCGGAUCAGGUAGGAAGACCCGCUGAACUUAAGCAUAUCAAUAAGCGGAGGA